rnacentral:ncRNA from 1 species
UUUCUUCGGGGCAGGGUGAGAUUCCCUACUGGCGGUGACAGCAAAAGCUGGCAGUCCGCGACCCGCAGAUAAAAAACAGCAGUCCUUCUAAAGAGCAGAUAUGCCUGUAAGGAGGGAAACUGUGCAAAGUUUCUGCGGCUGAUCCGGUGAAAAUCCGGGACCAACAGUAAAGUCUGGAUGAAAGAAGAA